UACGAAGGGUGCAAGCGUUACUCGGAAUUACUGGGCGUAAAGCGUGCGUAGGUGGUUCGUUAAGUCUGAUGUGAAAGCCCUGGGCUCAACCUGGGAAUGGCAUUGGAAACUGGCGACCUAGAGUGCGGUAGAGGGUAGUGGAAUUCCCGGUGUAGCAGUGAAAUGCGUAGAGAUCGGGAGGAACAUCCGUGGCGAAGGCGACUACCUGGACCAGCACUGACACUGAGGCACGAAAGCUAGGGUAGCAAACGGG
rnacentral:rRNA from 1 species